rnacentral:lncRNA from 1 species
AUGAUGUUGAACAGACAACUAGAAGAAACAACAGGUUUCAGAGAAUUAUGGCAUUGCUUCUCAGUCUUCAGUUACUACUUCAAAGCAUUGCUUUACUUUUUCUCUGAAUAUUAUGCCACCCAACAGCUGCUCGAAGAUUUUCCCUGUUGUGGGAAUUGGAUUUGCACCCUCCAUCAGCAAGUUCCUGCUCAUCAUGCCUGGCAACUACAGACAGCUGGCCAGCAGGGAAAGUACUGGGAGAAAAAGUUAAUAGCCUAGAAAGGAACCGAAGUCCAUCAACACAGCAGCCUCUCUAAUUGAGCUGAUAAGCCAUUGGCAGGGAUCAGCAAAACCUUUGGCAGGAUCAGAGAUGAGAUCUCACUAUAUUGCCAGAGCUGGAUUUGAACUCCUAG